CCUACGGGCGGCAGCAGUGGGGAAUAUUGCACAAUGGGGGAAACCCUGAUGCAGCGACGCCGCGUGAGUGAAGAAGUAAUUCGUUAUGUAAAGCCCUAUCAGCAGGGAAGAAAAUGACGGUACCUGAGUAAGAAGCCCCGUCUAACUACGUGCCAGCAGCCGUGGCAAUACGUAGGGGGCAGGCGUUAUCCGGAUUUACCGGGGGUAAAGGGAGCGUAGUCGGCAGUGCAAGUCCGGAGUCAAAGGCGGGGGGUCAACCCCCGGACCGCUCUGGAAACUGGACGGCUGGAGUGCAGGAGAGGUAAGUGGAAUUCCUGGUGUAGCGGUGAAAUGCGUAGAUAUUAGGAAGAACACCAGUGGCGAAGGCAGCUUACUGGACUGUAACUGACGUUGAGGCUCGAAAGCGUGGGGAGCGAACAGGAUUAGAUACCCUUGUAGUC
rnacentral:rRNA from 1 species